CAUCCACAACGCGGGAGCGCACGGCGAAUGCGCUGAGAGGACGGCUUGCGGCCGUCGACCGUACGAACCUGACCGGGUAAUGCCGGCGUAGGGAGAUGAGAAAUGACUGAU
rfam:Mycobacterium malmoense strain E3012 contig_200, whole genome shotgun sequence.